UCUAGGAGGAUGUCCUUUUCUGGCAUCAGGGCUGCGGCUUGAGCCACCGGUCCCCUGCCUGCUGUCCACUGCCAUUAAGGCCUGCUGCUGCCACUCAGGCGCGCUCUCUGUCUGUCCCGCCGCUCUCUCCACCCAGUCUUGGGACUGCUGGCUUUAAGAAUUCCUGCUACGACACUCGAUUCAGCCGGGAGGUGACACCAAAUGCAGCCAGAAACCACUGGUGAAGAGCCAUAUUAAGCCCUGCCUGGUUAACCUCUAACAAGGUUAUUAGAGAAUUGGGAGAGGCUCAAAUCAGCGUCUCGAGUGUGGUUAUGAAACCUUUGUGAAGUCUUGCGACGCUUCCUGCCCAGCAAAUUCACCAGAGAGCCGGGAUGAAUGAAUCACUGUUACUAUGGAUGUCCUUGCGAAGCAGUUGGAAAGCCUUGGCUGGACUGUGAAGGAUAUCUUUGAAAAGUGUUUUACAGUCCACCAGAUCUUCUAUGUUAGCGACUGCACAGCAGAAGAGGGGAGUCUUCUCAGUGAUUAAGGUAACACAGUGAUUACAGGGAUUGUAUUUGCAAAUGAUGGCAGGCAGGAUCCAAAUGCAUAAAUGCGCUCAGGGACAUUUCCUCUUCAUUUUGGGAGAAGAAGAUAAGAAUUUCAACAGCAAAAGAAAUGCUGAGCUAGCCAUAGAACAGCUGAGGAGGAAUGGGAAGAACAACUGGACCUCGCUAUCUUACCCUGGGUAAGUGCUGUAAUCCUAGCACUCUGGGAGUCCAAGGCCGGCGGAUUGCUAGAGGUCAGAAGUUCGAAGCCAGCCUGAG